AGUGAAGCGGGAUGAGCUCAAAUUUAAAAUCUGGCUGGUUUACUAGUCCGAAUUGUAGUUUAAAGAAGCGUUUUCGGUGGCAGCCUGGGUAUAAAUCCUUUGGAAUAGGGUAUCAUAGAGGGUGAGAAUCCCGUCUUUGACUCAGUGCAUGCUACUAUGUGAUACGUUUUCAAAGAGUCGAGUUGUUUGGGAAUGCAGCUCAAAAUGGGUGGUAAAUUUCAUCUAAAGCUAAAUAUUGGCGAGAGACCGAUAGCGAACAAGUACCGUGAGGGAAAGAUGAAAAGAACUUUGAAAAGAGAGUUAAAUAGUGCGUGAAAUUGUUGAAAGGGAAACGUUUGACACCAGUCAUGCGGGUGGAAAAUCAGUCUUUUGGGGUGGGGAGUGGUAGGAGUUCAGACCGCAAGGCUGGCUUUUGCUUCAUCUCUGUCCUAAAGGAUGCACUUUUUCAUCUGCAGGUCAACAUCAGUUUCUUCUGCUGGACAAAACUCCGAGAGAAGGUAGCAGCUUAGGCUGUGUUAUAGCUCUGGAGCGAUACAGUGGAGGGGACUGAGGUUUUCGCAGUGUGUGCUCUCGGGCAAGGUCGACUGGGUGCUAUGUGAUCGUUCGGUGUACAAUGCAUGCAUUUUGCGCUGUGUCUUUUGCAUACUCGCCUGAAUCGACUCUUCCACGCUUAGGAUGUUGACUUAAUGGUUUUAAACGACCCGUCUUGAAACACGGACCAAGGAGUCUAACAUAUAUGCAAGUGUUUGGGUGGCAAACCCAUACGCGUAAUGAAAGUGAACGUAGGUGCGAUCCGCAAGGUGCAGCAUCGACCGAUCUUGAUAUUUUUGGAUAGAUUUGAGUAAGAGCAUAUAUGCUGGGACCCGAAAGAUGGUGAACUAUGCCUGAAUAGGGUGAAGCCAGAGGAAACUCUGGUGGAGGCUCGUAGCGAUUCUGACGUGCAAAUCGAUCGUCAAAUUUGGGUAUAGGGCGA
rnacentral:rRNA from 2 species